GGCCUAAGCUAGAAAUCAAAUUGUGUUUUAAACAUCAUACAGCCUAGCUUUGUCAAAAAUGAUCGAGUCUUUCUUCUGCAUUAAAAACAAAAGGUCACUAAACCACUCCUUAAGACUUUCUUUUAUGAUGGCCAUUACUUUUCUACCAGUUUAGGUUCACGAAGCUUCCCUCUCCACCAAACGCUCCCAAACCUCUUCCAUCGGAUUCUAUCGUCUUCGACACUGCUCUGGACAACCAUUUAUCUAGGAUAGUCCCUAAAGACGUGCUCUAAAGAUUCUGAGCCAUUCUUGCACUAAAGGUAGAGAGCAAAAUUACUCACCCAUUUGAAAUGUAGAUUAAAAAGUAGGGAUGUAGUUGUUGUAGACUUUUCAGUUUGUAAUUUUCACUUUCCCAGGCAAAUCUGUUUGCCAUAGGCUUUUGUAAAAAAAAAAUCCUGUAAUUUCUGAAGCAUUUGUAAUUAGACUUAAAUCUUCCUUUACUAACCUCCUGUAACCUCUUCUCACCAUGUAACCCCCCGUUGGUUCACCGCUCCAUGCUCUACAAUCGUAUUAUGGGUACCUCACCAAAGGGAUAUUCAGAAUUGUUUCAGCCUCUCCUUGAGCAAAUAAACUGGAACCCAAGCAUCUUGCCAUAUCAAAAUAUUGUCCCCUCUACCAACCCUCCAGACCGUCUCUUCCAUCAACAAUUUCUUCGCUGCCCACACAUUCCUCCAGGUAUUCAAAUGAUAACCCACCAAGUUAUGAUGCGGGCACAACAUUCGGAAGGCUCAGAAUCAUUUUUUAUAUAUAAGUAUUUUAGACAUAUUUUUCUAAUUCCUAUUAUUUUGAAACUGUAUUGUUUUAUUUAAAUUGUGGCAUAAGACUUAAGUUUAGGUUUAUUUAGCAUGCAUGAUAUUUAGUUUGAAUUAACUCAAAGUAAUAAUAAGCAAAACAAAGCCAAUAAUAAUCAAUUAACACUAAAAAACUGAAUCAAAAGAUCUUCAGUGUUUUAAA